rnacentral:rRNA from 1 species
UGUGAUUCGUCACACUAUCAUUAACUGAAUCCAUAGGUUAAUGAGGCGAACCGGGGGAACUGAAACAUCUAAGUACCCCGAGGAAAAGAAAUCAACCGAGAUUCCCCCAGUAGCGGCGAGCGAACGGGGAGGAGCCCAGAGCCUGAAUCAGUGUGUGUGUUAGUGGAAGCGUCUGGAAAGGCGUGCGAUACAGGGUGACAGCCCCGUACACAAAAAUGCACAUACUGUGAGCUCGAUGAGUAGGGCGGGACACGUGGUAUCCUGUCUGAAUAUGGGGGGACCAUCCUCCAAGGCUAAAUACUCCUGACUGACCGAUAGUGAACCAGUACCGUGAGGGAAAGGCGAAAAGAACCCCGGCGAGGGGAGUGAAAAAGAACCUGAAACCGUGUACGUACAAGCAGUGGGAGCCUCUUAAUGGGGUGACUGCGUACCUUUUGUAUAAUGGGUCAGCGACUUAUAUUCUGUAGCAAGGUUAACCGAAUAGGGGAGCCGAAGGGAAACCGAGUCUUAACUGGGCGUUAAGUUGCAGGGUAUAGACCCGAAACCCGGUGAUCUAGCCAUGGGCAGGUUGAAGGUUGGGUAACACUAACUGGAGGACCGAACCGACUAAUGUUGAAAAAUUAGCGGAUGACUUGUGGCUGGGGGUGAAAGGCCAAUCAAACCGGGAGAUAGCUGGUUCUCCCCGAAAGCUAUUUAGGUAGCGCCUCGUGAAUUCAUCUCCGGGGGUAGAGCACUGUUUCGGCAAGGGGGUCAUCCCGACUUACCAACCCGAUGCAAACUGCGAAUACCGGAGAAUGUUAUCACGGGAGACACACGGCGGGUGCUAACGUCCGUCGUGAAGAGGGAAACAACCCAGACCGCCAGCUAAGGUCCCAAAGUCAUGGUUAAGUGGGAAACGAUGUGGGAAGGCCCAGACAGCCAGGAUGUUGGCUUAGAAGCAGCCAUCAUUUAAAGAAAGCGUAAUAGCUCACUGGUCGAGUCGGCCUGCGCGGAAGAUGUAACGGGGCUAAACCAUGCACCGAAGCUGCGGCAGCGACACUAUGUGUUGUUGGGUAGGGGAGCGUUCUGUAAGCCUGUGAAGGUGUACUGUGAGGUAUGCUGGAGGUAUCAGAAGUGCGAAUGC